rnacentral:rRNA from 1 species
AUUGAACGCUGGCGGCAGGCCUAACACAUGCAAGUCGAGCGGAUGAGGGAAGCUUGCUUCCCGAUUUAGCGGCGGACGGGUGAGCAAUGCCUAGGAAUCUGCCUAUUAGUGGGGGAUAACGUUCCGAAAGGAACGCUAAUACCGCAUACGUCCUACGGGAGAAAGUGGGGGAUCUUCGGACCUCACGGUAAUAGAUGAGCCUGGGUCGGAUUAGCUAGUUGGUGAGGUAACGGCUCACCAAGGCGACGAUCCGUAGCUGGUCUGAGAGGAUGAUCAGCCACACUGGAACUGAGACACGGUCCAGACUCCUACGGGAGGCAGCAGUGGGGAAUAUUGGACAAUGGGCGAAAGCCUGAUCCAGCCAUGCCGCGUGUGUGAAGAAGGUCUUCGGAUUGUAAAGCACUUUAAGUUGGGAGGAAGAGUUGUAAGCUAAUAUCUUGCAGCUUUGACGUUACCAACAGAAUAAGCACCGGCUAACUCUGUGCCAGCCGCCGCUGUAAAAC